GCCCCCGUCGUCUAGAGGCCCAGGACGCCACCCUUUCAAGGUGGAGAUCACCGGUUCGAAUCCGGUCGGGGGUACCA
rnacentral:tRNA from 1 species